ensembl:lncRNA
CACUUUCCACUACCAGAGCCCAAAUUUGCUGGGAUAUUUUACAAAUAUUUAUUUUUUUUCCAUGCUUUAUAUGCUCUUUUUGGUGUCAGAAGUACCUGGGCCAAGCAGAGAAUUUCUUGACAAAAGAGUUUUGUUGUUUUUUUUUUUUUUUUUUUUUUCUUUUUCUUUCCUUUCCUUUUCUCUCUUUCCCUCCCUUUCCUUCCUCGCAGCCGGGACUGGAGUCUCCUCAGCGAAACUCCUGUGCUUUCGCGGCCGCAGCAGCACGUCUUACUGGCUAAUGAAAGCCAAAACCUGACUGUACUGCAGGAAGAUUCAUACACACUGCAGCCAUGUAAGUGUGCUGUUUGACUUCAGUGACACACAAAAAUACAAAUAUAUUUGAUUAAAGUUAUUAUUGUCUAUUUAGUAAGUAGACUUAUGAACUACAAUUAAAAAGAAGUUCACAUCCUAGUGUGUUCCAAGAAAGGAUCUUAUCUGAUCUUUGUUUUUACAGCUCUCAUCCCAGCAAUCAACUGUGAAAACUUACAUAAGUACUCCCAGUAUGAUUGAAGCCACUCAUUUGUUAAACAGAGGAUUAAAGGUUAAAACUAGGGACAGAGACGCCUAUUCAGGAAAAUAGUAAAGAUCUUAAUUAAAACUAAACAUAUCUUAGCAUUACUUUGCAAACCAAUUUUACUUAAGCAUGUGACACUUCCAAAAAAAGACUGUAACAAGGCUACCCCAAUGCAAAGGCAUAUUAAUAUUAGCCCUCAGCGGAAUUAUAAUUUAAAAAUUUUGUAAGUAUGACAUCUGGAAGAAUUAGACUUCUUUUCUGUUAGACUGUCUGCACAAAAAUUUCAGACCAGUAGCAUUUAAAAUUUAUAAAGGAAAACGUAUUCUUAAUGUUAAAUAAUAUAGACAGAAAACAGCAAAAACAUUUUCAUGAAACUGUAAAACAAAUCAUUAGGCUUUGGGUUACUUUAUGUAUGUGCUUGUCACUUAUUAGAUGUUUUUUAUUAGAUCUGCUUUAUUAUUAGAUCUGUUAGUAGGUCAGUCCUUUAUUAUAUGUUGCAGUGUCUGUUUACAGCCUCACCCAUAACUAUCAUUUUAACAAAUCAAUGUAUACAGUAUAGCAUCUGUAUAGCAUUGUAUUAUUGAUCUGCAACACUAUUACAAAUGUGAAUAUAGAUUUAGCUAUGGUCCAGGGAUUAAUUUGUUUCACAGUUCUACUGCUACUUUUCUCAUCUAUUAAGGCAGGCAAGAAUGUUUCAUAAUAUUAAAAAAAAAAACAUUUAGCUGGAAGGCCUUUCCAGAAAACAAAAUCUCUGUCUUGUUUUCUCAUCCCUAGUAAUUUUCUAUUAUUGGAGGAACAAGAGGGAAACUUAACACCAAUUUUAAUCUAUUUUCCCUGGGAAAAUGAAGCAAGAAAUAGGCACAGCAUACACAAUAUGUUACCUGUGUUCUGUCUGUUUGUGCUUUCUAUGGAGAAUAGGUUGGCACACAAAAUUUGAAAUGGCUACUGCAUCCCUCUUCUGAAGAGAUCCAUAUCCCCCUCCAGGAGGGAACUUGGGUGAGCCCUGGCUUGAUCAGUAAUUUCCCUGGGUGCACAGAAAGGUUUGAAGCCUAUACUGUUAAACAGGAAUGGGGAGAGAGGCUGUAGAGGGGCCUUGACACACGCUGCCUGCAGCUGCAGAGCUGAGGGUCAACCCACAUCCCACUUCCUGGGAGCAGCAGCAGGAACAGAUCCCUCCUUCCACAUCAAGGUUGGAGGCAAUGUGUUCCUGAACAAGGCUGGUUUGGGGAUGUAGGAUGUUCCUGAAUCCUAAAGUUAGACAAGUAUGCAUAGAGCAACUUCAGCUAAGUGGGUAUGUUGGUGGGCUUUCUUAGGGCAAGAUUUUACCUGGGAUUAUUUAUUUUCUUGCAGAAUACAUAAUCUGCCCUAUCAGUUAGAUGGAAUUAUUACCCACUCACAGCAACCUUCACAGCUAGAAUGGUAUUACUCAUUCUCCUUAACAGAAACCUAGCACUGUGGUUUUGGUGGCACACUGAAAACUUAUUUAGAUCUUUCUUGUGUUUCAGAUGGCAAUGCAUUGUCUCCUUCCUGAUCUUGGAUUACAGUCCAUACUGAAAAAAAAAUAAAGUGAUUAAGAGCAAAAGUUCAAGUGGGUUUAUUUGUAGAAGCUGGUUGUGGCCUUCCCACAAUGAAGCAGCUUUUACCCUAAAAGUCACGCUAAGUACUAGUUAGUAAAUUAUCAAUUUUCCCUUGCAAACGCUGUAUUAUGUACGAGAAUAAAAUAUUGCCUUUCAAACCGUAGUGGAUGUUAUCACUUCAAAUGUGCUUAUAUGCAUUUCCUGUGCUUAGAUCCAGCCCAGCAAUAACAAUACCACAAUUACCAGAAUGUAUAAUCCAUAGUGUGGCCCUGUGUAAAUCAAGCCCCCGCUGAGCAUGUCGCACACAUCCUGCAGGAUACCACUGCCAUCCUCGAUUGCUUCCGGUGAGCGCCCUGCGUCUGCAGGAGGAUUGCAGAGCCCUGCUCACCCUGACUCCUAACUCACAACUCAGAGCUACCUCCUCCCAGCAAGAUUUAGGCACACAGCUGAAGCAGGUUUUGUUCGUGAUAGCCUAAAUGGGAAACUAGAAAACCAGGCUUAAGGAAAAAACAGUUUUGAUCUUUUAAAAAUACUUAAGGACAAAAUUGUUGCAAAUACUGCAAGGGAGAGUGUUCAGCAUUUCAAUUCAAUUGUUAAAUUACUAAAAUAAUGCGUACCUGGGGUUUUCACACCGUGGAGACUUAGAUGUAUGAUCUGAUACUCUGUCAUUCAUUCCCUUCAGAACACAGCAUCAUUUUUUCUCUGUGCAAAAUAUCUGAGAAGUAAACAUUUUUGAAAGAAUUUUGCAAAGUCAAAGAACAAGCAAAAUCUGAACUAAACCAGAAAUAUAUUAUUUUAAUUGCAAGACACAUUGCAGCCAUACACUCAGAACAAUCUUACAGGAAUAUUCUGACAAUGUCAGUGUCAUGAUUCAGUUAGUUCAAGCCAACUCAACAGACUGACUCAGAAAUUAAAUCUACUUGACCUGUUCAUGACUUCAUAUUUUUAGUCAGUUCUCAGAUUAGACACUGACUUUUUCAAACAGAUGUUGAAAUGAGUACAAAGUUUUGAAAAACUGUAAACCACUUUAAACUAUAAUUUAUACAUAUGAUCCUUAAAAAAAAAAAAACCCCCCCCCCCCCCCCCCCCCCCCCCCCCCCCCCCCCCCCCCCCCCCCCCCCCCCCCCCCCCCCCCCCCCCCCCCCCCCCCC